GGGACGUGUCCCGUUUUGUAUGUACCUUAUGAAUAAGGAUCGGCUAACUCCGUGCCAGCAGCCGCGGUAAUACGGAGGAUCCGAGCGUUAUCCGGAUUUAUUGGGUUUAAAGGGUGCGUAGGCGGCCUUUUAAGUCAGCGGUGAAAGUCUGUGGCUCAACCAUAGAAUUGCCGUUGAAACUGGGAGGCUUGAGUAUGUUUGAGGCAGGCGGAAUGCGUGGUGUAGCGGUGAAAUGCUUAGAUAUCACGCAGAACCCCGAUUGCGAAGGCAGCCUGCCAAGCCAUGACUGACGCUGAUGCACGAAAGCGUGGGGAUCAAACAGGAUUAGAUACCCUGGUAGUCCACGCAGUAAACGAUGAUCACUAGCUGUUUGCGAUACACAGUAA
rnacentral:rRNA from 1 species